rnacentral:rRNA from 1 species
GAAUCUGUCCGUUGGUCGGGCUUCAUUGUCCGUACUGAUGUGAUAGGUUCUUACCUUCUGAAUAACCAGCAUGUCAUUAAUUUGGUGUGUUGGGGAAGCAGGACUAUUACCUUGAAAAAAUUAGAGUGCUCAAAGCAGGCUAGUGCCUGAAUACAUUAGCAUGGAAUAAUAAAAUAGGACGGCAUGGUUCUAUUUUGUUGGUUUCUAGGAUCACCGUA